rnacentral:misc_RNA from 1 species
UUUCCGUAGGUGAACCUGCGGAAGGAUCAUCAAUGUGUUUGGGCCUCACGGCUCUUCAUUCCGACGCUGUGCGCCUUCGGGCUGCACGCUGAGGGAGCAUAUAUCCACCCCUGUGCACACACACGGUGGCGAGCUGGGUAACGGCUCGCCGCUGAUCUUUACACACGUCUAAAAGUCAUUGUAUGUUUAUUUGAGAUAAAAACACAACUUUCAGCAACGGAUCUCUUGGCUCUC